rnacentral:rRNA from 1 species
CACGUAGAUGGCUUUGUAAGUCGGAUGUGAAAUCCCCGGGCUCAACCUGGGAACUGCAUUCGAAACUGCAUUGCUCGAAUGUGGAAGAGGGAAGCGGAAUUCCAGGUGUAGCGGUGAAAUGCGUAGAUAUCUGGAGGAACAUCAGUGGCGAAGGCGGCUUCCUGGUCCAACAUUGACAUUCAGGUGCGAAAGCGUGGGGAGCAAACAGGAUUAGAUACCCUGGUAGUCCACGCCAUAAACGAUGAGAACUAGAUGUCGGGAGGGUUAGCCUUCCGGUGUCGCAGCUAACGCGUUAAGUUCUCCGCCUGGGAGUACGGCGCAAGGUUGAA